rnacentral:lncRNA from 1 species
GUAUGGAGCAAAAAUAUAGAUGAAAACAAAAAAAAACUAAUUGCACAGUUUAUUUGUAAAUCGUGAGAUGAAUCUUUUGAGCCUAAUUAGUUCAUGAUUGGACAGUAUUUGCUAAAUAAAAAUGAAAAUGUUAUAGUACUCAAAAUCAAAAAAAAAUUAGAGCUAAACAAGUAGUGAGCAGAAGCAAUACUAUAUUAGGCUAAUGCUCUGAGUACUUGUCCCUAAUAAAAUUGGGCC